UCAGUUGGUUUUUCCUUGGUUAGACGACGGUGGUUUCACUUUAGCCGAUGCCCCCUAUCCAAUUGCACCAUAAUGUGUAAGAAGAAACAAGUCACUGAAUCGCCGGCAACUAAAAGAAGGGGCAACGAUUCCACUCGGACAUUGAAUGUCACCAACAUUCAAGAGGCAAGCGCGCGUCCAAUUUCGCUACCGAUAUUGAAAGUCACAACCAUACGUCAGAAUGCGCGUAGGAGUCGAUACCGCCUGCCAUAUCCAGUAUAUAAAUUGAUCGCUUAUACUUAAGUGAAUGUGCGCUGACAUUCUAUUCCAUACGUUAGCCAAGCGCGUAGACAAGCGUGGGUUAUAUUUAACCGUGUAGGAGUACGGCUGUUGCGGAAAAGUCAGUUUUCGCCAUACCUGGUAAAAGUUUGCCAGCGUCUAGAGUGGCAAGAUUGAUGCCAAGAGCCCAUUGCAAAGCAACGAUAUUGCCUAAGUGAAAUGUUGAAAUGUGGCUGCAAGGAAAGGCCGGCCUAGUCCGUUCGGCGUAGUUCGCGUUGAAUUGUAGGAGAAAAUAAAGCGCGUAAGUGCGCCAGACUAUAGUUCGAAAUUCGAUAACUGCGUGAGACAGGAUGCGCGCGGGCGCGUUGUGUGUCGCUUUUGCCUGCGUUUUCAUCAAAGGCUCGUGCCUGGACGACUGAAUUGUUUCUGCCAGUCCUUUAACGCCUUUACGUCGUCCUAACGUUUGUGGAUUAGGUGUGCGCGUGAACGGGCCCAACUCGAUGCAAACGCGCUGCAUCAGUUGACGAUUACACCUUGCGCCUUCUCCAUUCCGUCAUUCCGUCUCGGUAGAUUGACUAACUCUGUAGCAAUUCAACGAGCCUGUUGACAGUCGGACAAAACUGUCCAGGAUUUGAUCGAGAAAAACGGGAAAAGGAAGGACCCGUGCCAACCAAUUUACCUGCAAGGGCGACCGAAAGGGACUAGCGGUGUCAUCGGACAGGUGCGCCGCUACGGAGCAGCCUGUUUCCGCCGUCCUGAAUCGAUCCGCUCAUCCUUAGUCCCGGAGAAAAAGUACUAGCCGACUAAGUUCCAGAGAAGGCACAGUUUCGUUUCGGACGGGCUGCAUCGUCUUGGUCUCUCCUUGGAUUUGUCAAGAGAAACGAAACGAAAAGACAAGAAGACCAAAACGAAGCGAGGCGAAGAUGCGCUGUUACGUUUCUUAAGCGCUUUCGCUUCUUACUCACCAACGUGAUAUUCUAAUCGACCGUCGACGUCGUGACUUGACGUUGUUAAGUUGUCGGUUGUUUCACUGCUUGUUUGUUUUGAAUACUGCCAUUGUAGGCGUAUCGAUCGUCCAAAGGUAAAAGAGGAAGUGGGAGUUAGUAGAGAAAGUCUUCUUCUUCUUCUCCUCCUCCUCAUCCUCCUCAUCCUCCUCCUCAUCCUCCUCCUCAUCCUCCUCAUCCUCCUCAUCCUCCUCAUCCGCUUGUGACUCGCUCGUUGACGAGCUGUCCAAAGUGUCACGUAGUUCGACGACCGUGACAUACGUGCUCAGUCACAUUUUUGUGCACGGCCUUUGUUCCAAACACUUUCCCGGUGUCUUCUUCAUUAGUCUAUCCUCGGGUGCAUCCUUGUCUUCGAUCAGGUGGCAUCAUUCUCUUUGUCGAUUGAAAUUGUUGAGUGAUAGCCUCAAUCAUCCCUCUUUCUUCUUUGGUGAUUGCGCCUUCUUCAUUUACCUUUCCCUAUCCCAGUCACAAGCGCAGACAUUUGGAACGACUGCAACGCAAGAAACCGGAUGGAUCAAUCUUAGAAACUCGGCCGUUGCUGUUUGGUUCUAAUCCUCGGGGCAGAAAAGAAAAAGAAUCGAAAAAGAAAGAAAAAGAAGAGCCGGCAGACGACGAUAAUAGAAACAUUCACCUGAAGAAACCAUCGUUCGACCAAUGGAAGACGGAAGUCUUGUCUUCUCUACUCUAUUGACUGAAAUCUCUCCGUCUGGUCAUACUAGUUGAACUUUUAGCCGCGGGUCGCCUGUCGGACGGAGAUAGAAGUCGCCAAUUUGUCGUCUUUCUUUGUCGCUUUCUAUUCGGAUUGUUUCUCACCAGCACCGAUAUUGGCCAAAAAGCCUGUCUGCUGGCCGGAACCUCUAAUAACUAGUUUAUCGAACCUGCUUACCGAGCUUUGGCCUUUUGUUUGCAUUACGUGCGACUCUCCGUUUUCCCCAACAAUCGUAUUGUUGAUGCUAUGAACCUUGCUCAAGUUGCCGUUCUGUAUAGCCUUCCCUCUUCCCUACUUCUAUUCUCGGCUAUCGUGUGACGCGCUGAUGUAUUUCCCCGACCGUUGGCCAGUCUAUUCAACUGUUAUUCUCACAACUUUAUCUUUGCGUGUGACGUUCGUCUUUCGAUAGUUAUUACCGCUAUCCUUGGUCGAAGAGGCAACGCCGGGUCAAACCCCGACAGACUCUCAGCACGAACGGUUGGAACGUUUCGCCAUUGGACUUUUGGCCAGUGGUUGAUAGUCUGGUCGCGUGCUUUGCGUCACACGUUUCUCCACAACUGACGUUUUCAUCGUAUGCCAUUGGCUUGUUUGGCUUUUCGGCUGCCUCUCUGUUGGCUCGACUAUUUCUUCGUACGACAGAAUAAAACAAGAAAAGAAAAGAAAAAAAAAAAGUCUACAUCUAAUAAAAAGGAAA